GACAGAGGUGCCGAGCGUUAGGCGGAAUCACUGGGCUUAAAGCGUGUGUAGGCGGACCGUUAAGUACCUUGUGAAAUCCCCCGGCUCAACCGGGGAACGGCUGGGUAUACUGGCGGUCUUGAGCCAUCCAGGGCAGUCGGAACAGACGGUGGAGCGGUGAAAUGACGUAGAUAUCGUCUGGAACGCCGAAGGUGAAAACAGAACUGCUGGG
rnacentral:rRNA from 1 species